UACAGAGGUCUCAAGCGUUGUUCGGAUUCAUUGGGCGUAAAGGGUGCGUAGGUGGCGCUGUAAGUCGGGUGUGAAAUUUCGGAGCUUAACUCCGAAACUGCAUUCGAUACUGCGGUGCUUGAGGACUGGAGAGGAGACUGGAAUUCAUGGUGUAGCAGUGAAAUGCGCAGAUAUCAGGAGGAACACCGGUGGCGAAGGCGGAUCUCUGGGCCAUUACUGACGCUGAGGAGCGAAAGCGUGGGGAGCGAACAGG
rnacentral:rRNA from 1 species